rnacentral:rRNA from 1 species
GUCCACGCCUUAAACGAUGGAUGUUCGGUGUCGGGCCGCAAGGUUCGGUGCCUGAGCUAACGCGUUAAACAUCCCACCUGGGGAGUACGAUCGCAAGGUUGAAACUCAAAGGAAUUGACGGGGGCCCGCACAAGCAGUGGAGCAUGUGGUUCAAUUCGAUGCAACGCGAAGAACCUUACCUGGGUUUGAAAGGCUCUGUAAACCGGUGAAAGCCGGCUAGUGUAGCAAUACACGCGGAGUACAGGUGCUGCAUGGCUGUCGU